rnacentral:rRNA from 1 species
UACGUAGGGGGCUAGCGUUGUCCGGAUUUAUUGGGCGUAAAGAGCGCGUAGGCGGUCCGGUAAGUCGGUUGUGAAAGUCGGGGGCUCAACCCUCGGAUGCCGAUCGAUACUGUCGGGCUAGAGUCCGGAAGAGGCGAGUGGAAUUCCUGGUGUAGCGGUGAAAUGCGUAGAUAUCAGGAGGAACACCUGCGGUGUAGACGGCUUACUGGACCAUAACUGACGCUGAGGCACGAAAGCGUGGGUAGCAAACAGG